AGCUCCAAUAGCGUAUAUUAAAGUUGUUGCAGUUAAAAAGCUCGUAGUUGGAUUCCUGGGGAGAGCGGCCGGUCGGGUUUCUUUAAGCUCGUUACUUGUGCUGUCUUUCGCCUUCCUUUGGGAGAGCUUGUCUGUGCAUUCAUUUGUACGGGCAAGGGACCCCAAUCGUUUACUGUGAAUAAAUUAGAGUGUUCCACGCAGGCAUUUUGCUGUGAAUACAUUAGCAUGGAAUAAUAAGAUAGGACUUUGGUGCUAUUUUGUUGGUUUGCACACCAAGGUAAUGAUUAACAGGGACAGUUGGGGGUAUUCGUAUUUAAUUGUCAGAGGUGAAAUUCAUGGAUUUAUGAAAGACGAACUACUGCGAAAGCAUUUACCAAGGAUGUUUUCAUUAAUCAAGAAC
rnacentral:rRNA from 1 species